ensembl:lncRNA
GUGAGCUACUUCCAUGAUUUGUCCGUAUCUACAGAUGUUUGUAAUGCAAGGUCUCUUUCUAUCUGUGAAAGUUCACAACUCAAAUGUUUGUAAGUUGGGAGCUUACUGUACUUGGGUGAUUUCCACAGUUUGUUUUCCCAGUUUAAAAAUGAAAUUAGACCGUUUCUAAUGUUCUAUAUAAACCCCUCACUAUACAACAGUACUUAAAAUUUCUAAGGAUAAUUUAAUUUCAUUAGGACAAGUCACACAUAAAAAAAGCCUUUACUCACCUUUUUUCGAUUGCAUGUCCAAACAAGUUCCUUCCAGCUCCAGGCCGAAGUUGCCAACAUUAAGUCAGAGGUUUUCAUACACCUCUUCCAGGUUUCAAGAAUUUAAACAUUUGAGGGAGAAAAACUUUAUAUUCAUUACAUUAUUUUAACUUAACAGUUAUGCCAGGAUCCUGGCGAGGCAGUAUCUGUUGUUUUUGGUUUAUCAUUGAUAACCACUUCAUCCUUCCACACUCGGGGAAGAUUUUCCACAGGGACUGAAAAAGACGAGCCUACCGGGAUUAGGGCGGUGCCAAACUAAUAGCUCAAGUGUAGUGGUUUAGUAAUCACACGCCAGCCCCAGCAUCACAUAGUCCAGAUUCAGCUACCUCUGAAAAAGAAAGUUCCACCUCAUCCACAUGAGGCCAUGCGGGGACAUCUACAUACAAACCCUAACAACGGCUUUCUAGGUAUGUUAUUUGUUUUCUUUGGUUAUCAGCAACAGUGGUCUCCCAAGUUGAUAGCUUUGGAAUGAGAAUUUGGUAGUGCAAUAGACAUGCAGAAAGGUUGGUUUUCACACAUCUUUGAAACAGAGUUCUAGCACUUGCUCUUUCUUUCUCUGUCUCUCUCGUCCCUUUGUGCACCUUGCUCUUUUCCAUUUCUCUCUGUCUCUCUCUCACAUUCAUGUAUCCAUUCCCACAUGUUUCAACUGAUUUGCCACUUUUAUGUAUAUGUACUGUUAUUCAGAUGGAUACCUAAUGGAUUUCUUAAUGCUCCAGGAUCAAAAGAAGCAUGAGGAAUGAAGUUCCAGGUACACCAGGAGAUGGAAUCCAAGAGGUAAAACUAAAAAAUGAGCCAGUGGAUAUCAUAGUAUAAUUCAUUAAGCCUGCCAGAUCCUCUCUAGAGUAAAAUGAGAAGAACAAAGCAAGGGGGAAGAUCCAGGGCAGGAAAAAUGGAAACACCAGAGUAAUUGGCUGGAUGUUCAUAAGGAAACCAUUAUUAAUCGAUCCUAUAGAGGUGUUAUUAUUUUAUUUAUAACGAGGUCUUAGUUCAUUCAGGCUGCUUAAAAAAUAGCAUAGGCUAAGUACUUUAUAAACAAUAGAAGCAUUUCAUACACUUACAGAGGCGGGGAAGUCCAAGAUCAGUGGCUCUUCAUAUCUGCUGGGUAACGAGGGGCCUGUUUCCCAGUUCCUUGGUGAUCACUGGCUCAUCUUUGCAACCUCACAUGGUAGGGAGAGGCCUAGAGAACUCUCAGGUAUCUCCUUUAUACGGCACUAAUCUCGUUCAUGAGGGUCUUAACCUCACGAACUAAGGACUCUCACGAACUCAUCAGUUCCCAAAGACCACAC